CAUCUAUUAAUCACCUGUCAGUUACUUGGCACUGCUAGCCCUGGGGAGACACAGAUGGAUUAAUAGAAUGAGUGAGACCUAAGCCCUUUGUGAAAAAGCUCCAAUUUGGGAAGAUCCGUAGCCCAAGCCAAUGAUGUUCCAUGAAGAGUAGCUGGGGCUUUGGGAGCUAAGAAGAGGCACCUGGCCCUGACAGGGUGAUACCUGCUCUGAGGCCUGAAAGAUGAAAAUGAGUUAAUCAGCUCUCAUGAAGAAACGUGGAAUCUUAUAACCUCCCAACCUCCCAAGACCCACUGAAUCUGCAUUUUCACCAGAUCCCAAGGCAUGGAAGAAACGAAAUACACCUGAAAAUGUGUACCAGUGAAGUGACCACAGAGGAACUCUCAUCUUCCGCUGAGGCCCAGCUCACUUUGUGGAAGACCUUCAAGAUGCCCAGGCACAAGAUGAAGAAGGCAAGGCUGGAGAGGUGAAGAAGUUUGUUGGAGUGGUGACAAAGCUAGUGGGUAGGAGAGCCAGCACUUGAACACAGGCAGCCCAGCCCUAAGUACUUGUCCUACCUAAACCACUAUGCACCCCCUCCCCAGCUAGGGUAGUUGCAUAUUUUUGGAAAAUCCUUGAUAUGGUUUGGCUGCGUCCCCACCCAAAUCCCAUCUUGAACUGUAGCUCCCAUAAUUCCCACGUGUUGUGGGAGGGACCGGGUGGGAGAUAAUCGAAUCAUGGUGGUACCUUCCCCCAUACUGUUCUCGUGGUAAUGAAUAACUCUCAUGAGAUCUGAUGAUUUUAUAAGGGGAAAUCUCUUUUGCUUGGCUCACAUUCUCUCUUGUCUGCCACCGUGUAAGACAUGCAUUUCACCUUCCACCAUGAUUGUGAGGCCUCCCCAGCCACGUGGAACUGUGAGUCCAUUAAACCUCUUUUUCUGUAUAAAUUACCCAGUCUCAGGUAUGUCUUUAACAGCAGCAUGAAAACGAACUAAUACAACCUUCAAACCUUCUCCCUUGAACACAUUUUCACUGAGCAAGACUCUAGCAGCUGCUGUGGUAAGUGAGGCAGGCUUGGGGAAGAAAGCAGCCAGCACGCAGCCACUCAUCCCCUUCUCCAGACAGACAGGGGACCUGAGCUGCUGGAUCACUCUCUAGAUGACCAUGAAUCAGCAUUCCUUUCAGUGGAUCAACUAGAAUUGCUUAGUAAUCCUCAAC
rnacentral:lncRNA from 1 species